rnacentral:rRNA from 1 species
UACGUAGGUGACAAGCGUUAUCCGGAAUUACUGGGCGUAAAGCGCACGCAGGCGGCGCGGUAAGUCUGAUGUGAAAUCUCCCGGCUUAACUGGGAGGGGUCAUUGGAAACUGCCGAGCUUGAGGCGAUGAGAGGGGUGUAGAAUUCCCGGUGUAGUGGUGGAAUGCGUAGAUAUCGGGAGGAACACCAGUGGCGAAGGCGACUACCUGGCCUGUUCUUGACGCUGAGGCGCGAAAGCUAGGGGAGCAAACGGG